CUGGGAGAUGCGCAGCGCCGGCCACAAGUUCCCCGCCGCGCACCCGCGGCCGCCACCGGCACGGGGAGGGCUCAGGUUGCAGCAGGAACGGGCUUGGGAGCCGGGCGUGCCCGCACCGCCAGGCCGAGAGUACCCGCGCGCGGCACGGAGACGAAGCCGGAGAACGGAGGUGGCGGCUCGGACGGAGCGCAGGAGCGGCGCGGGGACCUGUUGACCGAGCGAGGCCAGCCCGUGCCGGAGCGGGACCCCGAGCCGAGGGCAGCCCGCCGCCGAGCCGAGCCGAGCCGAGCCGGGAGCGGCGGGCAGCGAGGGGUCCGAUCGGCGCGAGGCGGGGAGGAGGCGCGGCGCCGGGGGAGCUCCAGGUGCUGCGCUCACGCUGCCCACAGGGCGGGCGACCGUGUCCGUGCGGCCAUGUGCUCCGUGCGGAGCGCACAUAAAUAAGCGGGUGUGUGCGGCACAGGUAUGUUCAUACGAUUUGAUUUGUAUAUCGUGGAGCGUGUAAAGCUUUUCAAGGUAACUGCGGUGCAGAAGUAAUUACUUUAUUACCUCCGAAACGUUCUGCAGUUCGCAUUUAACAGUGCUCUGAAUAAUUACGAGUCAUUACGCAGCCGUGCGCUCUCCGAAGCCCACGUACGGCGGCAUACCUGGCCGGGGCCGGUUCUGAUAAAUACCAGGCAGCGUUCCAUCGGUUUUCUUUAAAAACUCGCAGCGAGUUUAUCACUUAGUUAUACCUCAGCCCGCCGUCUCGCUGCACCGCGGCUGAGAUUCCAGCGGUGGCUGCCCCUGCCGCACCGUGAGACGCACUCGACAGCUGAUUGUACGGAUGCUCUCGGGAACGGCAGCGAGCGAGUCCUGCCGGCAGUGUGCCCUCAAUGCUGGCACGGAGUAACUGCGCGGGCGAAGCGGAGCCGUACCUCAGCUCAGCGCUCCCCUCGGCCGGACGGGCGCUGCUGUCGGCAUUGAUCACAAUAACGCGCACUGCCCGCCGCCCCCCGCGCUGCCGUUGUCAUGUGACGAGAGGGCGACAGCAGACCGAGAAAAGGCGUCGGGAGGCGUUCUUGGAGCGCCGUAUCCACGGGCUUUAUUAAAGCAGGAUUGUCUCCUCUUUAGAUGUGAGCUUUCGGUGAAUACGACGAGACUGCUUGUUUUCCCCCGCAAUGAUCACUGCGUUUCUCAAGCAGUUUGCACCUACUUACGGACCUCGCAUCUUCAGCCUUGGAUCUUAAAGGAACUGAUAACUCCUCUUCCAGAAAACUGUUCGGUAACAGGUUUCCUGCCCCGGGCUUUACAAGGAUCGCUCUUGUCUCAGAGCCACCGUGUUUGAUUGCCGGAAAAGGCUGACUACUAGAAUAGCAAAACCAGUCCGCCAUCCAGCAGUUGGGAAUCAAGGCCCUUCUUUACCAGAGCCCCAGCCACAUCCAUACUGUCACCCACCUUCCAGACACUCGGCACAACCAUUCACCCUAUUGAAUCAUGAGACUGUUUGAUCUUAUCUGCAUCUGUGAGCUGACUGUCAACCUGCUUACACUGCAUAUUAAAUCAUCUAUAGUAGCUGUAUCAAGCUGGGAUGAUCUGUUAAUUCUAAAUUUACUAACCCUUCGAGUGCAGUCGUUGUGUUUAAUCUAGUGUAGCCAGCAUUUAUUUUACAAGUCUAAAUCCUUCUUCAAGAUAUGUCUGUGCUGUAGGUUAAAAAAUCAUUAAUGUGUAGGAGAUGGUAAUUGGGAAGAGUUCACUUUGAUCUUUGGAAGCCAGUUGACAGCUUCACUGCUCCAAACACAUACGUGUGUGCUCUCACCACUCUCGCGUGCCCGGCGUGCUGGAUGUGUGCAUGCAUACGCACCUAAUGACACUUCCUUGCAGAAAGAGUUUUGCAUGAGACAAGGAAGAAGAGAGGCCUCAGACAAUGCCUUCAUUCCACGUCUCCAUGAAGACUUAUAAUCGAGAGGCAAAUUCCUGGUGCUGCAGCGCAGUGAGAGCAUGUGGCUGCAGGCAGAGCCCUGCGCCAGGAGGGCCAACAAACCUCCCUUCGAGGCAGCACCCAGCUUGAUGAAUGCCUGCAGCCAUUGCCAGCACCGGACAUCCCCACACACUGAGGACCACAGCCCCUGCCAGGCUUGAGAAAGGUCAAGUGCUGCUGUCCGCACCUCAACCAGCGUGCCCCCUCCUAGACACAGAUACAUACACAAAAAAUUGCAUGCAGAUAUGUACAUACAUCUAAAUAUGUUAAUCUGUUCACUGUACACACCCAUCUCUCCCUGUCCCACUCUCCUGUUAUCUAUUAUUCUUGCACGCUGCUGAUGGCAUCAACAUAUUCACAGCUUUUAUUUCAGUCACAAACUGGUAGGCAUGCUUCCUUUUUUGGUAAUCACAUGCCUGGUAUCUCUCUAAUGUAGCCUAAUAACAAUUUUAGCAUUCAGAUAAAAAGAUUUCAUUCUGUGAUUGCCUUUUCUAUUAGAUUUGAUUCUGAGAAGCCCCAGUGGGUGCCUCCGAGGCAGAGAUCUAUCUGUGAGGCUGCAACCGAUUCAAUAGCAGCCUGAGCUAACCUUGACCUUUCCCUAGACCCUACUCCAUCUGGUGCCAGCCUGGUCCCCCCCUUCUCCUCCUCCUUGCUUCACAGGCAGCAUUGAUCAAGACGAAAUCGAGCGGCUCUCUCCCUCGGAGGGCUGGGCAGUCACAGGAAGGACAGCACAUUUCACUAUAUGGAGACAACUGAGCUUCUUAUGCAAUCAUAUAUCUACAUAGAGGCUUCUGAUUUGAUAUUUCCUUCACUUCCUAAGGUUCUCCCCUCCCUCCCCCAGCAGGGAUUUAUAAACUAUAAGACAACCGCUUUCCCCAACACCUGGAAAUUAUAAAGCUGGCUGUUGGGAACGCAUCCUGGCGAUUUGAUCUGAUUUACUUGGCUUCUUAUUUAUUUCCUUGCAGCUCGCUCCAUCUUUUUCCUGCGUCCGUGGUUCUGUAUCUCUGUCUCUUCUUUCUGUUAUUUUCCCCUGUUCGGCGGCGGCCUUUAUUCAUCUCCUCGGGGAUGCCGGGUGCCGCUGUGGGUAGGCUGGAGGGGCCAGCUGGUGGCUGGCCGGCUCGGGAGGACCGGCUCCCUCCGAACCCCGGCACCGACUGUCGGCUCUCUCGGCCGCGUUUCUCUGUCUGGAAAUGAGAAGAGGCUCCCGCGAUCAAUCGGCACUCAGCACUUCGUGCUUCGUUUUCUUCCCCUCUUCUCCGCUCUGCCGCUGCACCUGGCCCCCAGCGCUGCCUGGCCCCCAGAGCUCAAGCGGAAUUGCGCCGUGCCCCACGGCCCCGCACCGCCCCACGGCCCCGCGCAGCCCCGCGCCGCUCGCCGAGGCGUUCCGACGCGCUCCCGCCCCCGUUCCCUCUUCGGCAGCAGCCGCGCUGGGGUUCGCCUCGCGGACAACCGCCGCGUCCGCGCUCUCAUCUCCUCUCAUCUCCGUGUGGGUUCCUUAAUUGCCAGGACGUUCGUUUACAAUCCGCGAUCUGCUUUUGCUUCCCAAGAAUUGUAGCAUGACCGCGUUUUCUCAUCUCACACCAGUCUUCAGAUUAUAUAACAGAUGAUGCAAAAUUAUAAUGACGAUCUAAUCUAUGCACACUGUAAUUAUAGAGUUUCCUGCACACACACAGCUCUUGCAGUAUCUGCAGAGCUGACAACUGGCUGUAGAUGCAGAGUACAAAAGAUAGAGACUGAUAUUUGGACCCACAUAUGUUUAAGAGAGAGAUAUUACUUAAUGGGAGAAAGGAUCUGGAAAUGCAUUUCUCUUUCUUCUGAGGAAUUUGUUUUGCUUUAUCUCCAUCGGUUGUAAUAGGAAGAAACUGUGAAUUACGCUGAAAAAAAAAAAAAGACAUAUACUCAAUUUAUCAGUUUACUAUUACAUUUCCUAUCUCCAGUGUUACAAAGAUUUAGAACAUUUCCAAAACUUUUGGAUCUAAUCUGUGUUUUGUGCAGCCUACAGUUUGUUUGCAGGACCUGCCACCACACGCCAGCCAAAAAUGAGUGUCAAUUAAUAACAAAAAACUCCCUUCCUUCCUUAUUUCUGCACUCUCAUACCUUAACGGAUAAAACUACUGAUGGUGAGAAUUUUCCAUUACCAACAGUUUUUAUUCUAAAGCACCAAAGCUUCCCCACAUAGAGCUGCUGAAUAUUUCCUUGCUUUUCCCAGUGGCAAUUUACGCACACCACUGCUCAUUUGAAAUAUAAAGAAUAUUCAGCACUUUCGGGAGUGUUUUUUCUGCUACCCAGAUCAGCCAGUAGAACCAAUUGCAAAUCCAGUGACUGCACUGUGCUGUUUGUGGCGUUCCAAAUUAGAAAUCAUUUGAAACCAGAAGUAGGAGGGUUUGUUGGUUUUGUCUUUUUUUUUUCUACUGUUUUCUACAACGUCAGAAGUAACUGAAAAAACAUUCACCCUUGUGACACAACAGAAUUUAUGAGCUCUUUUCUUUCUGAGCUACCUGAGCAGUCCUGUCAUCCCUGCAGAAAUGCCCAUGUGUGGGUUGCUGUUUAAAACCGUAUUCUACUUAUCAAUAAAAUGUGAAAUGGCUUAAAAAACA
ensembl:lncRNA